GUGCUCACUACUUGUGCAUUUUAGCUCAUCAAUUUGUUCUGAUUCCAGCUGUACCAACUGUCCUUUGAGUGAUGAUGAAAGUACUUCUGCCUUUUUCUGCCCACGUCUGAUGCAAUGGAGCCUUUUACAUAACACCAACUCCUGUAACAAUCUGUCUCCUCUAUACACAGCAUUUUCAGAGGCUUGUAACAUUUUCACAGGUUGUUCUGUUCUCUAACAGAGAAAAGAGAAGCACACAUGGGUAGCCACGGCUACCUAUGCUCAAGCAUGUCCUUCCUGCUGGUGCCCCAGAAAUAACAGGGCUAAUCUUGCUGACAUCUGUGUGUGCCACCUGCAAGUGGGGAGGAUGCUGCAGGAGACAGGGGGAUCUUCUGUGCAUCCACCCCAUCUCUGUUGUUUUUGUGCCUCAUAAUGAGCACAUCUGACACCAGACAAGUCUCAGCUUUUCCCUUUGUGGAUGCCCAGGGAAUGCCAAGGUCACAGAAUAGAUCUGUUUUCAUGGCUUCUUGUCUGCUUUUUGCACAUACAAAUGAGAUUGCUGAGUAAGAAGAGAGGGGAAAUAUGAACUAACACAACAGAGUAUCCUACAGGUGGAAAACACCUGGGAGAUAAGGCAAAUAAACUUGUUCUUUACUCCUAGCUGCA
rnacentral:lncRNA from 1 species